rnacentral:rRNA from 1 species
AUGGUCGGCAUGGAUCUGGCGCCCCAAGACGUUGUCGCGGAGGUCCUCCGCCGCAUCGCGCCGCGCAGCCUGGCCGCGUGCCGCUGCGUGUGCAAGGCGUGGCGCGCCGUCGUCGACGCCAACCGCCUGCUCCGCGCGGAUCUGCUCCCGCUCACGCUCGAUGGCAUCUUCUACGAGACCUGUCCCUAUAACGAACCCAUGCUUUUCUCCAGCCCCGCCACGGGCCGCAGGGUCACCGGUAAGCUCGACUACCUGGACUGGCCGCUGGACGACGUUUUCCCGAUCAUGGAUUGCUGCAGUGGCCUUCUCCUGAUGUGCUAUCACGUGGUCAACCCCGCCACACGGCAGUGGGUGCGUCUGCCCCCUCUGCCGCCCUCGUGCACGGCCGCAGGCUGCACACGUUGCAGCAGCCAGAAUCGCUACCUCGUGUACGAUCCGGCCCUGUCGCCGCACUACGAGGUGUUCUUGAUCCCUAACAUUCCCUUCACGCUUCCGACGGGGCAUAUCUGUAUGCACAUUUGUCGUGAUGAUGAGUCGGUGUCUGCGAUGGAAUGGCCACCCUCGCCUUACAUCGUGCACGUCUUCUCCUCCAAGACCGGUUGCUGGAAGGAAAGAUCGCUUCUCCGGGAAGGGGAGGCCGCAGGAACGGUUGCCGAAGUGAAAGCGGUUUAUGAUACUGUAUCAUUUUUCCUCUACGCCGCCUAUUGGAAGGACGCACUCUAUGUUCGUUGCGAAGAGGAAUUUCUUCUGAGAAUAAACUUGUUGCAUGAUACCUAUCGAGUGAUCAAGUUUCCAGAUGGAAAUAAAGGAUAUACUGUGCCUCGCAUAGGAAAAUCAGAGAAGGGGAUGGAGUGGGCACUGAGGAAUGUCAUCGACCUUCAGCGAGUAGUGGAAAUUUAUCCUGCCAACCACGUUGAUGGUCCAAACUGGGUCGUGCAGUCGGAGGAUCAGAUGGACCUGGUGUUGAAGAAUGACAUCAAUCUUCAGCCUGCAGAUGACAAGGACAAAGCAAUGACAGAAGGCGAUUUUGACUGGGACUCUGACAAUGAAUACGUGGUUAGCACAAAUGAUUGGGAUAACAAGGGUGGUUAUCGGGAUUAUUUUUAUUGUCUUGGAUUUCAUCCUUACAAAGAGGUUGUUUUCUUUCAUGGGGCCUUCAGAACAGUGGCCUACAAUUUUGAUAGCUGCAAAGUUCUAUACCUGGGUGAGAUGAGGUAUGGAUAUGAAGAGCUACAAGAGUCCUUUUCAUACGCAUCAUGUUGGGUGAGGAACUUACCAGGAAGCAACUGA